rnacentral:rRNA from 1 species
GAUGAACGCUAGCGGCAGGCCUAACACAUGCAAGUCGAGGGGUAAUUCCGAUAGCAAUAUUGGAAACGACCGGCGCACGGGUGAGUAUCGCGUUUGCAACCUUCCUCUGACUGGGACAUAGCCCGGAGAAAUUCGGAUUAAUAUCCCAUAACACCAUGAGAAGGCAUCUUCUUAUGGUUAAAGCUCAGGCGGUCAGAGAUGGGCAUGCGUACCAUUAGCUAGUUGGUGAGGUAACGGCUCACCAAGGCUACGAUGGUUAGGGGGUCUGAGAGGAUGAUCCCCCA